GACGAACGCUGGCGGCGUGCUUAACACAUGCAAGUCGAACGGAAAGGCCCUGCUUUUGUGGGGUGCUCGAGUGGCGAACGGGUGAGUAACACGUGAGUAACCUGCCCUUGACUUUGGGAUAACUUCAGGAAACUGGGGCUAAUACCGGAUAGGAGCUCCUGCUGCAUGGUGGGGGUUGGAAAGUUUCGGCGGUUGGGGAUGGACUCGCGGCUUAUCAGCUUGUUGGUGGGGUAGUGGCUUACCAAGGCUUUGACGGGUAGCCGGCCUGAGAGGGUGACCGGCCACAUUGGGACGGAGAUACGGCCCAGACUCCUACGGGAGGAAGCAGUGGGGAAUAUUGCACAAUGGGCGGAAGCCUGAUGCAGCAACGCCGCGUGCGGGAUGACGGCCUUCGGGUUGUAAACCGCUUUCGCCUGUGACGAAGCGUGAGUGACGGUAAUGGGUAAAGAAGCACCGGCUAACUACGUG
rnacentral:rRNA from 1 species